rnacentral:rRNA from 1 species
UACGUAGGGGGCGAGCGUUAUCCGGAAUUAUUGGGCGUAAAGGGUUCGCAGGCGGCCUUGUAAGUCAGAUGUGAAAGACAGCGGCUUAACCGUUGUAAGCACUUUGAAACUGCAGGGCUUGAGUACAGGAGAGGAAAGCGGAAUUCCUAGUGUAGCGGUGAAAUGCGUAGAUAUUAGGAGGAACACCAGUGACGAAGGCGGCUUUCUGGACUGAUACUGACGCUGAGGAACGAAAGCGUGGGGAGCAAACAGGAUUAGAUACCCUGGUAGUCCCU